UCCUGUCUCAGGACGAACGCUGGCGGCGUGCCUAAUACAUGCAAGUCGAACGCUUCUUUUUCCACCGGAGCUUGCUCCACCGGAAAAAGAGGAGUGGCGAACGGGUGAGUAACACGUGGGUAACCUGCCCAUCAGAAGGGGAUAACACUUGGAAACAGGUGCUAAUACCGUAUAACAAUCGAAACCGCAUGGUUUUGAUUUGAAAGGCGCUUUCGGGUGUCGCUGAUGGAUGGACCCGCGGUGCAUUAGCUAGUUGGUGAGGUAACGGCUCACCAAGGCCACGAUGCAUAGCCGACCUGAGAGGGUGAUCGGCCACAUUGGGACUGAGACACGGCCCAAACUCCUACGGGAGGCAGCAGUAGGGAAUCUUCGGCAAUGGACGAAAGUCUGACCGAGCAACGCCGCGUGAGUGAAGAAGGUUUUCGGAUCGUAAAACUCUGUUGUUAGAGAAGAACAAGGAUGAGAGUAACUGUUCAUCCCUUGACGGUAUCUAACCAGAAAGCCACGGCUAAC
rnacentral:rRNA from 1 species